UACGAAGGGGGCUAGCGUUGUUCGGAUUUACUGGGCGUAAAGCGCACGUAGGCGGAUCGAUCAGUCAGGGGUGAAAUCCCAGGGCUCAACCCUGGAACUGCCUUUGAUACUGUCGAUCUGGAGUAUGGAAGAGGUGAGUGGAAUUCCGAGUGUAGAGGUGUAAUUCGUAGAUAUUCGCAAGAACACCAGUGGCGAAGGCGGCUCACUGGCCCGAUACUGACGCUGAGGCACGAAAGCGUGGGGAGCAAACAGG
rnacentral:rRNA from 1 species